GAUGAACGCUAGCGGCAGGCCUAACACAUGCAAGUCGAGGGGCAGCACGAUAAAGCUUGCUUUAUUGGUGGCGACCGGCGCACGGGUGCGUAACGCGUAUGCAACCUACCUUAUACUGGGGUAUAGCCCGGAGAAAUUCGGAUUAAUCCCCCAUAGUAUUGUUGAAUGGCAUCAUUUGAUAAUUAAAGGUUACGGUAUAAGAUGGGCAUGCGUCCCAUUAGCUAGAUGGUGAGGUAACGGCUCACCAUGGCAACGAUGGGUAGGGGGCCUGAGAGGGUGGUCCCCCACACUGGUACUGAGACACGGACCAGACUCCUACGGGAGGCAGCAGUGAGGAAUAUUGGUCAAUGGGCGCAAGCCUGAACCAGCCAUGCCGCGUGCAGGAAGACGGUCCUAUGGAUUGUAAACUGCUUUUAUUUGGGAAUAAACCUCCUUACGUGUAGGGAGCUGAAGGUACCAAAUGAAUAAGCACCGGCUAACUCCGUGCCAGCCGCCGCGGUAACAC
rnacentral:rRNA from 1 species